CUCUAUUUCGCUCGCUCCCCAUCGCGCCCCGCCGAUGCCCAUCCGGAUCUAUCUCACAUCGCCCUGCUCGCGCCGCUCUUCUCUCAUCCCUAUCGUCCUCUCCAGCGCAGGACUGCUGACCGAUGGUGAGGCUAAGCGCGCAGGGAAGCGGAACAACUACGCCGGCCGAGCUCUCGCUUGUGCGGCUUAGUCCAGACCAAGAACCUCGGCGAGAGACCAAGAACCUGGGCGAGUGUAUUGAGAGGACGGCGGUUCCUUCGUCGGCAGAGCGUUGCAUAGGAUUGGUGGUGACUUGCAGAUGCCUUGUGCCGUCAGCGAGAUCCCUGCUCCACAUGAGGAGAAGCUUCACGAUUCAGCCGCCAAGGAGAAGCAUGAGCCAGACAGAUCUAGGAGAAGAUUUCGUAUUUUCACUCUAGCUGGUUAGCAGAUUAGGCCAUCCGCGCUAAGGACUCCUCAUGAUCUGAUUUGAACACCACUAAAGAUUGAUGGAUAACAACGAAAGGCUGCAGCAAGAGGAUAUAGGAGACAAGGAAUCUUUUUCUGCGGAGGACAUGACGAGGAUGGGGAUGAAUUGAAGGCAGCGGAUUCUCCAUUGCUUUGGCCCCAUGUUGGAGGGUCAAAUGUAAUCAUUCUCUAAGUGCCUCGGAGAAUGACUCGAGGGGUACAGAAGGUGAAGUAAGUACCACACAUGCCUCCAUAGCUAUGAUACUAAAAGAGAGUAUGCCAGUUACUGUGAGGAAUUAGCCAAGAAACUCAAGG